GCAGGGUUACGCUGACGGUGACGCACACACACGGCAGGGCACCGGGAGCUCCUCGCACAAACCUGGGGUCCGGGGGCGUCCUAAGGAAAUUAAUGUGAGACCCUGGCGAUGGCGAAAAUCACACGCGUGCACAAAACACCUGCGCAGGUCUUCAGCUGCGCUUGUGUGAAUAUACGAAACCAGGAGGAAGUAGAAGCCUUUUGCAAAACAAGAAAAACCCUCCAGGCUGUCCUGAGAAGGAAACAGCUCUUACUGCCGACCUAAUUUAGUUAUCCGUGGAGGGUAUUUACGAGGACGCACACCAGCAGAUAAAGUUUUACAGGCCUUUUAUUACUUUCCAUCCACCACUCCGCACCCGUUCUCCCACAGCGUCAGGAAAGGGACUGGUAGCCCGAAGGAGGAAGGGUUGGCCACUGACGGGCCCUUUGGGCUCCUAAGAGUAGUUCUGUGUCUCCGACGCCCAACUCUGCCUUGCAGUAGGGCAGCCCUUAGCAAAGUCUCUUUGGGAACAUCAGUCUAGGGAUGGGUACUUCUUAAGGCAGCAGUUCUAGAGCUAGCCUAUCCGUGUCCAGCCCCUGACCUUUCCGUGCUUGCCAUCUUGUAAUCUUGAACAGGACUCUCUACCUGACAGCCAGCCGGCUGAGUCUGGUUAUCCUUUGACAUGAAUAUUUGGCAUACUUGUGCUUUUUAAACUGGAAGAGAAGAAUCUUCAUUUCCUACAUUCGGGAUGCUGAAGAACUAAGUAACGAAUAAAAAGUAAAUCACUACAUGAUAGAGAAUAUAAAGGUUUAAAAUUCUUGCCCUGUGACAUUUUCAUUCGUAGCUGCAAAGUAUUUGAUCCAGCACACAUAUUUUUAGAAUAACAGCUAAUAGAUUCUGGUGAGUUUCAAACUGGGCAGGAGUUUGAGCAGAGACGCGACGCAAAAUUGUUGGUGAAUUUUGAAAAAAUAUAUUUUUUUCUAAUCUUGCGUGGUGAUGCAUACUUGUAAUCCCAGUGAUUUGGGAGGCUGAGAUAGGAGGAUUGCAAAUUUGAGGACAACCUUAGCAAUUUAAUGAGACUAUCAGCAACUUAAUGAGACACUGACUCAAAAGAAAAAAUUAAAGAGGCCUGGGAAUGUAACUCAGUGGUAAAGUGCCCCUGUAUUCAAUCCCCCAUACAAAAAAAGAAAAAUGGAUUCCUUUUCUGUACCAUUGCAAUGAGUCUUGGAACCUACAUGUGUGAUAAUAUUCCAGUGUGCUCUUGGUUUGCUUGUUUAGAAAAGAAAGCAAAGAGGAAAGUGCCCAGGUUUGAAGACAAGGAUUGAGUUCAUCAUUUAGUAGCUGGAUGUUUGAAAGAAUUACACAUAAUUUGCUGCUGAUUCUCAUAUAUACAGAAUGAAGAUGGUAAACCUACACCUACCCUGGAUACAUGAGAUUUAAAUGUCAAAAACUUUUGGAAAACCCUAAAGUGUUGCACAGAUCUCUCUCUUUUUUUUUUUUAAUGUGGUGCUGAGGAUCGAAUCCAGUGUC
rnacentral:lncRNA from 1 species